AAGGUGAAUGGCUGAAGUUGUGGAAAAACACUAGAAUGGGUUUGAAUAGUGUUUUCAUAAGUCUUUUUCGUCUAUGUAGAUGAUCUUGAUGUGCGUAACACUUAUGAGUUAGUUUGUUUUAUCUAUAAAUAUUAUUCCGUGUAGAUCGUUUAUAGAACUAACUCAAUGUUUGCCAAGAGGUAUCUAGGCAGUAACCCCC
rnacentral:lncRNA from 1 species